UAAUCUUUGUGUACUUUGUAAAUUGUGUA
rnacentral:piRNA from 1 species